UACGGAGGAUCCAAGCGUUAUCCGGAUUCAUUGGGUUUAAAGGGUCCGUAGGCGGGUCUUUAAGUCAGUGGUGAAAGCCGACAGCUCAACUGUCGAACUGCCAUUGAUACUGUUAGUCUUGAGUCAUUUGGAAGUAGAUAGAAUGUGUAGUGUAGCGGUGAAAUGCAUAGAUAUGACUCAGAACACCGAUUGCGAAGGCAGCUUACUAACAUGUAACUGACGCUGAGGGACGAAAGCGUGGGGAGCGAACAGG
rnacentral:rRNA from 1 species